rnacentral:rRNA from 1 species
UGGCUCAGGAUGAACGCUGGCGGCGUGCCUAAUACAUGCAAGUCGAGCGAACAGAUAAGGAGCUUGCUCCUUUGACGUUAGCGGCGGACGGGUGAGUAACACGUGGAUAACCUACCUAUAAGACUGGGAUAACUUCGGGAAACCGGAGCUAAUACCGGAUAACAUAUUGAACCGCAUGGUUCAAUAGUGAAAGGCGGCUUUGCUGUCACUUAUAGAUGGAUCCGCGCCGUAUUAGCUAGUUGGUAAGGUAACGGCUUACCAAGGCAACGAUACGUAGCCGACCUGAGAGGGUGAUCGGCCACACUGGAACUGAGACACGGUCCAGACUCCUACGGGAGGCAGCAGUAGGGAAUCUUCCGCAAUGGGCGAAAGCCUGACGGAGCAACGCCGCGUGAGUGAUGAAGGUCUUCGGAUCGUAAAACUCUGUUAUCAGGGAAGAACAAAUGUGUAAGUAACUGUGCACAUCUUGACGGUACCUGAUCAGAAAGCCACGGCUAACUA